AUGCACCUGGGCUGGCCUCCCUUACCUUUCAGGGACACCCAGUAGUGCUUCCACUUCCUCCGGGUAGCCGACUCCACCUUCUUAUUCUUCUUGUGGACCAGGAAGUUCUUGACUGCCAGCGCUCCAGCCUUCCGCACAGUGCCCUGCGCAGCCGUUAGCAGGAUGUCCGACUGGCCCGGGGAACUGAGGGUUCCGCUGCUCUGCUCAUCGCUGUGCGCAGAGCCAGCCUCCUCCAGGCUCUCACUGUUGGUGGUACUCAUCUCCAGUUCCCGCCUGAAGUUCUCGUACACCCCCUGGCGCGCAGCAUCCCCUGUUGAACUGCUGCCGCUGUCGCUGCCCACAAAGGCUCGGCCUGUGGGGGGCGAGUAGCUUGAGUUGGUGGCAUUGGAUCUCCUGGACAAGAGGUCCGUGUCGGUGGUGGCCCCUUCGAUCCCACUGUCCGCAAACUCGCUGCCCUCGCCUGUGUUAACAUCCUUGGAAACAGAAAGGGAGAGAGAAGCAGACAUGCAUCACGUUCGGAAGGAACUUGAGAGCACCUGGUCCAGCCCGGGGCUCUGCAGCACAGAAGGCGUGCGCGCGCCCAACUCCAAAGAUGAUGGAUCGAUCCCUCCUCAAGCCAGUGCACAGUGGAGUGGCUCAGGGAAACAAACCUUCGACCAACCACCCGCCACGCUGCCUAAUGAUUCACAAUGUUCAAGAAAUAUAAAAGGCGCAGGGAACAUUUCAAAGAGCUUAUCAUUUAUCUGACUCAAUUAGCUAAUUGGCAAACCAGCUAUUGAGAUGCUUGCCUGACCAAGCUGUGGGAGCUCCGAACCCUCAGCCACCUCGGCUGGCCUUGAACUCCAGGAAAUUCAGCAGGCAGAUUAGUUAGCUGUUGCGGAGGUUGGGGUUACAAUGCAGAACUAGAUCUUUACAGCUGAUAUUUAAAAAUAAAAUAAAAGCGCC
rnacentral:lncRNA from 1 species